GGAUGUGAGGGUGAUCUGACCGUGACAUCUGUCACCCCAUUGAGCACCAGGGUUGAUUCAGCUAAUCUGGCUGGCUAAGCAGAUGUCCCCUACCACACUUACCACUCC
rnacentral:sRNA from 1 species